rnacentral:rRNA from 1 species
UACGAAGGGGGCUAGCGUUGCUCGGAAUCACUGGGCGUAAAGCGCACGUAGGCGGAUCUUUAAGUCAGGGGUGAAAUCCUGGAGCUCAACUCCAGAACUGCCUUUGAUACUGAGGAUCUCGAGUCCGGGAGAGGUGAGUGGAACUGCGAGUGUAGAGGUGAAAUUCGUAGAUAUUCGCAAGAACACCAGUGGCGAAGGCGGCUCACUGGCACGGUACUGACGCUGAGGUGCGAAAGCGUGGGGAGCAAACAGG